UCGGGAAUUUUGGGCAAUGGGCGAAAGCCUGACCCAGCAACGCCGCGUGAGGGAUGAAGUAUUUCGGUAUGUAAACCUCGAAAGAAUGGGAAGAAUAAAUGACGGUACCAUUUAUAAGCUCCGGCUAACUACGUGCCAGCAGCCGCGGUAGUACGUAGGGAGCAAGCGUUGUUCGGAUUUACUGGGCGUAAAGGGCGCGUAGGCGGCGCGGUAAGUCACUUGUGAAAUCUCUGAGCUUAACUCAGAACGGCCAAGUGAUACUGCUGUGCUAGAGUGCGGAAGAGGCCACCGGAAUUCUAGGUGUAGCGGUGAAAUGCGUAGAUAUCAAGAGGAACACCUGAGGCGAAGGCGGGUUGCUGGGCCGACACUGACGCUGAUGCGCGAAAGCCAGGGGAGCAAACG
rnacentral:rRNA from 1 species